rnacentral:rRNA from 1 species
CACGUAGGGCGCGAGCGUUGUCCGGAAUUAUUGGGCGUAAAGAGCGUGUAGGCGGCCAUACAGGUCAGCUGUGAAAACUCGAGGCUCAACCUCGAGACGUCGGUUGAAACCGUAUGGCUAGAGUCCGGAAGAGGAGAGUGGAAUUCCCGGUGUAGCGGUGAAAUGCGCAGAUAUCGGGAAGAACACCGGUGGCGAAGGCGGUCUGCUGGGCAGUUGCUGACACUGAGGCGCGACAGCGUGGGGAGCAAACAGG